GACGGGGGGGGCAAGUGUUCUUCGGAAUGACUGGGCGUAAAGAGCGCGUAGGCGGUCCGUUAAGUGUAGAGUGAAAGCUCCGGGCUCAACUCGGAAAUUGCUCUGCAUACUGGCGGACUCGAGGACGGAAGAGGUUUGUGGAAUUCCUGGUGUAGCGGUGAAAUGCGUAGAUAUCAGGAGGAACACCCAUGGCGAAGGCAGCAAACUGGUCCGUAUCUGACGCUGAGGCGCGAAAGCGUGGGUAGCAAACAGG
rnacentral:rRNA from 1 species